rnacentral:misc_RNA from 1 species
CAAAACACCCUCGGUACUGUGUAUUUUCAUAUUCAGUGCCGGUCUUGGGCAGUGGAUGCCGGUGGUUAUUUCUUUCCACCCGCGCCCUCCCUAAACUUGCUGCACGACCGCAAGCCCCUUCUAGCCAGGUCAAUGGAGUGGUGUUACAAUCUUCCAAAAAGCCUGCUGGUAAACUGCUUUGCGGCGUUAAACCUUAACGCCUCCCCUCCGAGGGAGACUUGAAG